AGCUAGGUUAGAGCUUCUUCCAAAGAUGUAAGGUUGGUUUUGGUAGGAUUUGGAAAGUUAACAAUUAUUAUUAAAAGUCAAGGUUUGUAUUAGAAAUUUUGGAUUUAUGCAAUAAAAUUAGGGCUAGCACUCUCAAUUAUUCGUAAAAUUAAUGUCACAUCUACAUUUUAAAUUUUGACAUUGCUUAGAUAAUAAGGUUUUCUAAGUGUAAGUGAAAUUUUAUAGUAAUUCAAUGGUGCGAUUAGAAGAUAUCUAGGUUUUGGUACAAGUAUAUAUCGGAAGUUGGUAGUUUGAGAUUAGAUAGGAUUUCUAAGAUAUCUGAAGAUCUUCUUGUUGGAUUAAGGUGAAAUUUGGCAUGGUAUUGAAGGACUUGAAGAUCAAGUUGUAAAUCAAUUUUGAAUCAAAGUUAAUAAUUGGAGAAGGAGAAAUCAUUGCUCAAACUUUUGCUUCAUCUUUCAAGUUGGCGGCUAAGUGACAUCAAUGCAGUUUUUGGAGGUUUUUUUAUAAUCUUAAGUUGGAUUGGGCUGGAGUUUCUUGAGCAUAUGGAAGACUUACAUUGAAAAUUGCAUAAAAAAAUUUACAUUAUGUAGAAGGUCAAAUUAGAAGUUACAACUUGUCAAAGCUCACUGAUUAGAGUUGGGGCUU
rnacentral:lncRNA from 1 species